rnacentral:rRNA from 1 species
GACGAACGCUGGCGGCGUGCUUUACACAUGCAAGUCGAGCGGUAAGGCCCUUUCGGGGGUACACGAGCGGCGAACGGGUGAGUAACACGUGAGUAAUCUGCCCUUCACUUGGGGAUAAGCACCGGAAACGGUGUCUAAUACCCGAUACGACCAGUCACCGCAUGGUGUGUUGGUGGAAAGUUUUUUCGGUGGGGGAUGUGCUCGCGGCCUAUCAGCUUGUUGGUGGGGUAAUGGCCUACCAAGGCUUCGACGGGUAGCCGGCCUGAGAGGGUGACCGGCCACACUGGGACUGAGACACGGCCCAGACUCCUACGGGAGGCAGCAGUGGGGAAUAUUGGACAAUGGGCGGAAGCCUGAUCCAGCAACGCCGCGUGAGGGAUGACGGCCUUCGGGUUGUAAACCUCUUUCAGUAGGGAAGAAGCGAAAGUGACGGUACCUGCAGAAGAAGCACCGGCUAACUACGUGCCAGCCGCCGCCGUAACAC